GCUCGAAUGAGGUAGGGUACUGGCAACAGUGCUCUGCUGAAAUAUUUUCACCCAUGUCUUUUGCGCACUUUUUGUUUCCUGGGCGAGUUUGCUCGCCACCAGGACCCCCAUAUGAACCUUUUUUGUUUUUGCACUCAGCGUCAGUACAAUAAUUUAAUCUAUUAAAACUUUCAACAACGGAUCUCUUGGUUCUGGCAUCGAUGAAGAACGCAGCGAAAUGCGAUACGUAGUGUGAAUUGCAGAAUUCAGUGAAUCAUCGAAUCUUUGAACGCACAUUGCGCCCUUUGGUAUUCCAAAGGGCAUGCCUGUUCGAGCGUCAUUUGUACCCUCAAGCUUUGCUUGGUGUUGGGCGUCUUAUUGUCUCUCCGUCUCGGGGAGACUCGCCUUAAAACAAUUGGCAGCCGGCCUACUGGUUUCGGAGCGCAGCACAAAUUUGCGCUUGCAAUCAGCCAAGGGCGGCAUCCAUGAAGCCUUUUUUCUCUCACAUUUUGACCUCCGAUCAGGUAGGGAUACCCGCUGAACUUAAGCAUAUCAUAAAGCCCGGAAGGAAAUGGCCUAUGAGCCAUAUC
rnacentral:rRNA from 1 species